rnacentral:rRNA from 1 species
AGAGUUUGAUCAUGGCUCAGAUUGAACGCUGGCGGCAGGCCUAACACAUGCAAGUCGAGCGCGAAAACACUUCGGUGUGAGUAGAGCGGCGGACGGGUGAGUAAUGCUUGGGAAUCUGCCCAGUAGUGGGGGAUAACGUGUGGAAACGCACGCUAAUACCGCGUACGUCCUACGGGAGAAAGCAGGGGAUCAUUAGACCUUGCGCUAUUGGAUGAGCCCAAGUCAGAUUAGCUAGUUGGUGAGGUAAAGGCUCACCAAGGCGACGAUCUGUAGCUGGUCUGAGAGGAUGAUCAGCCACACUGGGACUGAGACACGGCCCAGACUCCUACGGGAGGCAGCAGUGGGGAAUAUUGCACAAUGGGCGAAAGCCUGAUGCAGCCAUGCCGCGUGUGUGAAGAAGGCCUUCGGGUUGUAAAGCACUUUCAGUUGUGAGGAAAAGUUAGUAGUUAAUACCUGCUAGCCGUGACGUUAACAACAGAAGAAGCACCGGCUAACUCCGUGCCAGCAGCCGCGGUAAUACGGAGGGUGCGAGCGUUAAUCGGAAUUACUGGGCGUAAAGCGCACGCAGGCGGUUUGUUAAGCUAGAUGUGAAAGCCCCGGGCUCAACCUGGGAUGGUCAUUUAGAACUGGCAGACUAGAGUCUUGGAGAGGGGAGUGGAAUUCCAGGUGUAGCGGUGAAAUGCGUAGAUAUCUGGAGGAACAUCAGUGGCGAAGGCGACUCCCUGGCCAAAGACUGACGCUCAUGUGCGAAAGUGUGGGUAGCGAACAGGAUUAGAUACCCUGGUAGUCCACACCGUAAACGCUGUCUACUAGCUGUGUGUGCCUUUAAGGCGUGCGUAGCGAAGCUAACGCGAUAAGUAGACCGCCUGGGGAGUACGGCCGCAAGGUUAAAACUCAAAUGAAUUGACGGGGGCCCGCACAAGCGGUGGAGCAUGUGGUUUAAUUCGAUGCAAC